CUAGUACAUGAUUGAGCGAAGUCUGAUGCAGCAACGCCGCGUGAGUGAUGAAGGCCUUCGGGUUGUAAAGCUCUUUUGUUAGGGAAGAAAAUGUCUGUACCUAUCUGAGAUGGCCCGGACCGUUUCAUGCCAGCACCCCCGAUACUACUAUAUGCCAGCAGCCGCGAUAAUAA
rnacentral:rRNA from 1 species